rnacentral:antisense_RNA from 1 species
CUUCACCGACCCGAGCCACAGCGGAAGUUCACGGCCCUGCCCGUACGUCGCCAGCAGCGCCUGCGCCUC